UUCUCUGGUUUUGCUACAGCAUUUUCCCUGCUUGAAAAAAUGUCAUCCUCGACCGAAUCCUAAAAAAAAGACAGGAGAAGGGAGGUAAAUAUCCCAGUCAUACCAGUACAUAUUUAUUUCCUGAAUUAUUUCUCCCUAGGUAUGCAGCAAGAAGUGCCCGUUUGCAAAGUGAGCGGGGAGAGCUUCUAUUUAUUAGAAAGUCUUCAUCACUCUUUUAAAACAAAAACUCCAGUGCUGAAUCAAAAUGUCACUUGAAAACUCCCCCCACACGAAACACGGCAGCAAAUUUUUAGUUUAAAAAAUGAACUUUCCCAGCUCUUUUUUUCUUUUCCCUUCCGAAAGCUUUUAUGCAGCUGUUUCCUCCCCCUCCCUCUGCGUAGUGUGUAGGAAGUUCUUGAUCUAGAAUCAUUCAUAAUUUUAAUACCAAUUUCUAUUUGACAUAAUAUACUAAUAUCAGAUAGAGAUUGUAGCUGCUUCCUGGAUUUAGGGAGGAAAUGAUGCAUAUAUCAGAAUUAUCUGCUCAGAUGCCAGAACUACAUUGGUGUCAUUUCAGCAUGUGCUGUGUUGAAAGGAAAUCCUCUAUAUUUAUUACUCCGAUCAUCAGAGGAGCUAAAUGGACCCACUGUUUCUGACACCUGUUCAGAUGGCUGAAUUUAAAAUUUCAUGCAGGAAAAAAAAAAUAUCCUACAUACUUCAAUGUUAGGAAUUAAGUUUUUUUUUUAAUACACUUUUUUCCCUCCCUCUUUCCGAAUCUCUGUGUUGUGACCGGCUGCCAUGAGGCUUGGCCAUUCUGGGGGUAGCUAUGGAGAGAGGGAUAGAUUUUGUUUGCCCAGCUCUGACAAAAACCAAUCCUGCUUGAACACACUCGCACACACGCACAGUCUGUAACCAAAUGCUUCAGAUCUCUGUUGUAAGUGCAGGUCUCAGUAUGAAUAACAUGAUGUAGCACACCCCAGAACGUGGCAGAGGUGAGCGGCCAAGAAAGAACUCGUCUUUUUGGGAGGGAGCUGAGCACUGAACCACUUCAUAAUUUUAAGGCUCCUCUAAUGAAUUUUUUUGGGCACAGCAUGUAUAAAUCAAUAGAUUAAAAUACUGUACACUCUGCUGCAUCUAAUUCUUGACUGCCUGAAAUUGCGGGGGAGAACUGAGAAUAACAUUUGUCACUCUGAGGGCUGAGUGCAUUCAGAUUUGUGAGCUCUAAGCCAACACAAUGCAAAAAUAGUCCAGGAUGUGACUUAAGUUAUCAAGUGAAAAGCAAGAGGCCAGGGAUCUGCGAGGCUGUAGCUGGCAGACAGGCAGCUCCAUCCUGAGCGAUCUAUCACCGUAUCAGGUUGACCCGGCACAGUGUGACAACAUCUCAGCCCUCAAUGCACGCUGCCUGUAUUUCAGCGCUCUCUGAAAUGAUCAUUUGCGUUCACUAUUGCUGCACCCACUUUUUUCCCUCCAAAUUCUGGCUUUUAAAACUGUGUCACCUGCGACGCACAGUGAAGUGUGCAGGCCUGGAAUUGUGGUGCAGUGAGUGAUGAGGACAGAACUUGCCCUGCCUCUCUCCUUGCUUGUUUUGAAGCCCUGUGGACUUUGUGACAUGAUUUUCUCUUUUUUUAAAUUAAUAAAUGUCAUUGUUUUGUAAUGCAUCUCAAUACGACAUCUUACAUGGAAGGAAUCAAAGCGAGAGCAGAAGUUUGCUAGAACUGGUGUUUCUCCUCCAUGCAGAAAAAAAAUCCCCAAUAAAUAACAAAUCGAGCAGUGUCCUCAAGUUUCCAGCGGGGGUAGAGGUUGGAGUGUCCCUGGGUGCUGCUCUCAAUUGUUAAUUCAUAAAGACCCACAGUCCUGAGCAAUGUUGCCCCAGCUUGUCCUGAAACAGCAGAGAUGCCGAUGGCUGUGGACGGAGGCGUUGAGCCUAAAUGCCCUGUUCCAGCGAAGGCUCUGGCAUCUCCCUGACCUUCAGUCAAGGACCUUCAGUCCUUGGGGUUUCCAUUAAAUCUGGGUGUCCCCGAAAGGCUGCAGGGUGUGGGUACAGCGGGGUGUCGGCGGAGCUCAGAGCCCACAUGCCUUUGCCUCCCUGCCGCCAGCCAGGCACCUGCCUCGGCCGGGGGAGCAGCAGCUCUGGGGAGGGUUCUGGCAAGGAUUUUCACAUCCCUGCUUCCAGCAGUUCCUGAAUGUCCCGGGCCGGGGCUGUCUGUGCAGGGAUGCAGCCCCUCCCCGUCCCUCGCGGCACCGGGGCCGCGGCCGGCGGGGUCGCUUAGGAGGAGGCCGGGACCCCUCGGAGGCUGCCCUGAGCCCGGCCCGGCCAGGCCGCCACGACCAGGGGCACAGCCGGGCACAGCCCCCAGCCCAGGCACAGCUCCGACCUCGGGCACAGCCCCCGGCCCCGGCACAGCCCCAGAUCCCGGGCACAGCCCCCGGCCCCGGCACAGCCCCAGACCCCGGGCACAGCCCCCGGCCCCGGCACAGCCCCAGACCCCGGGCACAGCCCUGUGCCCCGCACAGCCCCCGCCCCCGGCACAACUCUGACCCUGAGCACAGCCCCUGCCGCCCGGGAGGGGAGGGAAGGUGAGGACCGCAUCCGCUGUUUGUUUGCUUCUUGUUUGUUUCUCUCUAAAUCCCAUCCCUGCAACAAAACGGGAGUCUGGGCGGAACUAUGGAUCCGUCUGGCCGCGCAUCCAGAGCGGAGCUCCUUUUGUCACCCGGCGGCUCCCACGGGCAGCCCGGCCCUAGGUACCCGAGAGAAUCAUCUACAACAGUGAUGUGAAAAUCCCUGUUACCUGAGGUCAAAAAUAAAAGCACACUGGUGGCUGAGCUGAAAGCAUGGCGGAUGAGUGUAUCCAAGGUCCUGGUUUUGAAUAACAGCAGAUGCCAACGUUUAACUUCAAAAUCAAUCAAUUCUUUUUCCUGCGUGCGGAUAAAAGGUCUAGUGAAGUGCCUGAAGGGGGUUUUCUGCUGUUUACAGCUGAAAAUAUAUUAAAAAAAAAUUUCAUUACAAAACUUUCUGCAAGAGAUGCGGACGCUGGUGAUUUUAUGGAAGUAGCCUAAGGUCAAUGAUUUUCUGCAGCCUGAGGGUGACAAUGAGAGUCCCCAGGGACCUGAUAGUACAGGGACAGGCAAAGCACACCCGUGACACCCCUCAGCACUCCUGCUGGAAUGGUCUCCUUCUCCCACAAGAAGUUCAAAGGUUUUGGCAACUGCAAACAGCCACCAGUUCAGAAGCAAGGCAAAAUGUAUUGGGGGGGACACCUUUACUACUGAAAUAUUUAUAUCCUUCUCUCACCCAUCCUCCCUGAAGAUUUCCUUCUUUAGCACCUCUGAUCACAUACACUGAGCAAAUACUGUUCGGG